rfam:Octopus bimaculoides Scaffold18331_contig_12, whole genome shotgun sequence.
GACUGCUUCAGCAGUACAUAUACUAAAAUUGGAACAAUACAGAGAAGAUUAGUGUGGGCCCUGGGCAAAGAUGACAUGCAAAUUUGUGUAACAUUCUAUAUUUUU